GUUUUGGGGUUUCCUGUAGGUUUGGGGGUUUUAGGUUUUGGGGUUCAGAUCCGAAAUAUUGGGAUUUGGGGGUUUUAUUCUGUAGGUUUUGGGGUUCAGACCCCAAAUAUUGGGAUUUUGNACGCGCUCUUCCUCCCCAACUCAACGCAAUCAUCUCCCAACUCAACGCAAUCAUCUCCCAACUCAACGCAAUCAUCUCCCAACUCAACGCGCUCUUCCUCCCCAAACUCAACGCGCUCUUCCUCCCCAACAACCUCAUCUUCCUCCCCCAACCCAACGCUCUUCCUCCCCAACUCAACAUCAUCUUCCUCCCCCAACUCGACGCACUCUUCCUCCCCAACUCAACGCAAUCAUCUCCCAACUCAACAUGAGCAUCUCCCAACUCAACGCGUUCUUCCUCACCCAACUCAACGCAAUCAUCUCCCAACUCAACGCAAUCAUCUCCCAACUCAACACAAUCAUCUCCCAACUCAACGCAAUCAUCUCCCAACUCAACGCAAUCAUCUCCCAACUCAACACAAUCAUCUCCCAACUCAACACAAUCAUCUCCCAACUCAACGCGCUCUUCCUCCCCAACCCAACGCUCUUCCUCCCCAACAACCUCAUCUUCCUCCCCCAACCCAACGCGCCCUUCCUCCCCAACUCCACCCCCUCCACCCCACUUUGGCGACGAGUUUGCGGCCCCUCACCUUUCACGGUGACCACCACCACGCGGCUGAGCGGCGAGGGCACCCAACGCUCGCUCACCUUCUCCUCGUACCUACAGGAGAAGCUCCCGGCCGUGGUUUUGGCCACGGGGAGGCUGAGGAGGACCCGGUCCCGGGCCCCGGUCUCCGAAAAUUGCUCGGCGCCGUCCUUGUAGAAGUAGAACCUCCUCUCGCCCGCCCCGCUGCCGUUGGCCGCGCACGUCACCCCCAGGGUGUCCCCGGCCCGAACUUCGCCCGAGGGGGGGUCCAGCAGCAGGCCUGGAGGGCCCGGCAGGCUUCGUUAACGCGUCGUCAACUAAUUAUUGAGUCAACCAAGAGGUUUGAGAGCGUUGGAAGAGGUGGAGGUGGCCCCCGGGGAAGACCCUGAAGGGGAAUUUGAGCAAUUUCCAGCUAAAGAGGGAAUCGGAGCGGAGUUUGGGGAUGGAUUUGGAAAACUGGGGUCCUCCGACCGCUCCUCGAGGUGGAUUUUUGGGAAUCGAGGUUCCUCCAACUGCUCCUCAAGGUGGGUUUUUGGGGAACUGAGGUUCCUCCAAUGACUUUUUGAGGUGGAUUUUGGGGAACUGAGGUUCCUCCAGUGGCUUCUUGGGGUCAAUUUUGGGGAAAAAAGGUUCAUCCAACAAUUUCUUGAGGUUGAUUUUUGGGAACUGAGGUUCCUCCAACCCCCCCCCAAGGUGGAUUUUUGGGACCCAAGGACCCUCCAAUGACUUCUUGGGGUCAAUUUUGGGAACCGAAGUUCCUCCAAUGACUUUUUGAGGUGGAUUUUUGGGAACUGAGGUCCCUCCAAUGACUUUUUGAGGUGGAUUUUUGGGGGAACUGAGGUUCCUCCAAUGACUUUUUGAGGUGGAUUUUGGGGAACUGAUGUUCCUCCAACGACUUCUUGGGGUCAAUUUUGGGAGCUGAGGUUCCUCCAACGACUUUCUUGGGGUCAAUUUUGGGGAAAAAAGGUUCGUCCAACAAUUUCUUGAGGUUGAUUUUUGGGAACUGAGGUUCCUCCAACC
rnacentral:lncRNA from 1 species